CAUGCAGGCGGUCGGACGCGUUUUGUGUGACAGCGGGUGGCUUAACUACCCGAGUAUGCGAAAGACGGUCUGACUUGAGGGCUCGAGAGGGACACGGAAUUCCGGGUGGAGUGGUGAAAUGCGUAGAGAUCCGGAGGAACACCGAAGGCGAAGGCAGUGUCCUGGCGAGUGACUGACGCUGAGGUGCGAAAGCCAGGGGAGCGAACGGGAUUAGAUACCCCGGUAGUCCUGGCCGUAAACGAUGACCACCAGGUGUGGGAGGUAUCGACCCCUUCGUGCCGGAGGAAACCCACUAAGUGGUCCGCCUGGGGAGUACGGUCGCAAGAUUAAA
rnacentral:rRNA from 1 species